GGAUUCCUUGCAAGUCAUGGAAAUUAACAAAACAAACAACUAGCAAACCCAAGUUUUCAGGAUAAGGAGCAUGCGCAAGACAUCUCUGCAGCAUGAGGUUAUGAAUACAGAGGUUUCACUAUGAACUAAACAAUCACUACCCUCCCCGUGAGGAUGUGCACACCCCAGAACUGUAGAGUGCAAUGAUGGCUUCAAAGCAACUCAUCUCAGCUCCAGAUCGGAAAUAGGGCUCACCGCUUGGGGAACGCCAAUCAGGAAGAACCAGUGGCUAACAAAGCAG